CGCCGGAGUAAGAUCCCGUUGACGUCGACACGCCGUAGGUGCGUCAAGUUUUGUUGUUUGUCCUUUCCCCCGUCGCCGCCGCCCUCCCAACCGCUACGCGGUUCCAUUUGUUGCGGGUUAAUAUCGGUAUUGCCAAAGUUAAAAGUGGUGCGGUCAGUGCGUAAUAAAUAACUACAAUAGUAACGACAAUACGAAACCAAAGUUGGUUUUAUUCGUCGGCGAGAAAGUCUUCGUUUCACUGGCGUCGCGUUGUUCGGUGAAAGAGAAGAAAGUGAAAAUAGGAAAACAGAGGGAAGAGAGAUAAGAGAGAAUUUCGGGGAGAACUGGACGAUACUCGGGAGUGCCGAAUCGAGGGGAAAUUUCGAUUAUUAUUAUUUUUUUCCUUUCUUUUGUUCCCAUUCGCGUUGAGAACACGACGUCGAGUUACGGAUAUCGUGGUCGUAUGUUAUCGACGUGAAACGAAAAGGUUGAACGUAUUGUUUUCAUUGGCAUCGGUGACCGAGGAGUGUGAAUUGGUGUAAUUUCACCCCUUGAGUCGUUUUCGCACGUAUUUUUAACCCUCCCGUUUUCCACGCGCAUCGUUAUCUCUACGGAGUGGGAAUAGCGAGUUCGACGAUUGUGCAACAACGUUUAUUCUUAACGUCAAGUGCGAGAGGUGUGAUCACAAAGAAUAUUAGUGGCGAUCGAACGCGAAAUAAUUAUCGAUGAUGAGAAAUUAAUAAAAAAAUGUGAACGUCUGACGACUAGUGUGUUUGCUCACGUCUGUUCGCUAAGUAAAUCUGGAUACGUACGGAGAUAACGAGUGAACUUUGGAUGAGAGAAACGAAAAAAGUGAAGUGAAAAAAACCAAAAAAAAAAAAAAAAAAA
rnacentral:lncRNA from 1 species